rnacentral:lncRNA from 1 species
AUUGGUGGAAAAAGGUUGGGCGGAUAAAGGUUUUUGUCCUUUUUGGACAGGUUUUUUUCCGACCUUUAGUGUGCUUUGUGGCUUAGGCUUAUAGAUGACAGUAGGUUUGGGUUUGAGUCUCGGAGGGAGGUAUUGGCGGCUUUGAUCCACAACCUCCCUUGUUUUCUUUACUUUCUUGAUAGCUUGAAUGUCUUGCUUAAUUAUUUUUUUAACAUUCUGAAAUAAGGCCUAAUAGAGCUUAAGAUUGUGUCAAAAUAGAAGUUUGAAUGCACCAAAACUCCUCUCUGCCUUACGGGUGUCACGGCAAUCUCUUCUUGGGUGCUGCAACACCAAAGCCUCAGUUUAUUUUUUCACAUUGUUCUUUCAGGCACUGUGACACCCAGUCCUCUGUUCAUCCAAAGCGUCCUUGCCUUGUUAGGGCGCCGCGAGACUCCUUUCUUCCAUGGCCGCAGCCUUCCAUGCUCUGUCUUGAAUUUCCGACUUGUGAUGCGGUUUUUUCCUUCUUGGAGGCUAAGCUGGAUAAAGUAGUAAACAUGAAAAUUGUAACUUUGCCUCUUAUAUUUCCAAUGAUCAAGAAUAAUGUCAAUUGAACUUUUGUAGUGGAAGAUAUGCUCGAAAUACUACUAGAACAUGAG